UCGCCCGAAUCGGAAGCCCGAGGGUGUUAUGAAGCGGUAGUUCUGGACACCUCACCGGCGCGGGGCGGGGUGGGGGUGGGGUCGCACCUCCAGACCCUUCUGCAACUGGCAGAGCAAAUGGAGCAUCCGGUGGUGUCCCUGUAUAGUUGAUGCCUCCGAAAAGUUUCUCCUCCGCAGCUUUUGUGUUAGCGGCUGGCACUCCGGGGCUGUCUAGGGGGUGUCUCUUGUCCCACCCUGAAAACACUUGAGGGCAGAGGGGAGUUUUUCUUGGAAGACUAUGAAAGGUCCCAGAGCUAAAGCAAGUGAAUUUCCCCUCCUGGUUGGAGCCCCAGAUAUGCCUCAAACUCACUCAGCACCCACGACUGCACUGUGCUUGUGGCUGGUUUCCUCCCCUGCUUCCUCCUUCCCAGCCAUAUCUCCUCCUGGGCUGGGCUGGCACGCAAGCACCGGUGCCGAGACCUUGACGAGCUGGGCCAGAGCCCUCUGGGCUAAGAUAAGAGUUUUCCUGGCUUCCCAUAAACCCUGCAGUACUGGUUGGGACACCUUUCUCAACCUGGUCUUUACAAUUUUCCCCAGAGGAUAUAUUUGGAAUUGAUUCUGGCUUCCCCGUGUGCCUCAGUUUCCCUGCUUCCUUGCUUUUAAGUUGGUGAGUCUGAUGCCCCCCUCACCGGGGUGUGCGAUGGAGAUAAAUAACACCCCUCAAGAGAUUGUAAGCUUGAUCCGCCUUACAGGAAGUGCUGGGCUCAUCUGUGACUAGAGUGUGGGUGGGAGGUCUGCUCUGUCUACCUCAACCUGUUGCUAUUGGCCCUAUGGGAGGGUGUCCCCACCUAGGUACUGUGACUGCCCCUUCAGUGUCGAUCCGAUCCGGGCCCUCCUGUCCUGCCAGAUGCUGUACUUCCCUGUUUCCCCACAGUUUUCGGAAGCUUGGUUCUCAGUGUUGGUGGCACCUGCCUCUGCUCGAAUUGUUCGCCUGUUCUCCUUAAAGCCUUUCUCUGUCCAUGCACUAGCAAGGCUUAGAAGAACUUCCCUUCCCCAGACUUGACAGCUGGAACUGAGGAGGACCAAGCGUUUUGUUGAGUUUCCUGGCCAAGCCCUCUGCAGCCAUCUCUUUGGAGGCAGGAGCUGCAGUUCCCAAGCAGGUCACAUAGAGGUUCGCCCUUUAUUUACUAUCCAGGGCUUGUGAGUUCAGGAAAGGACUGGGGCUAGAGGGAUAUUUUGUUACUGAUUAGCAAUCUACCACAGCAACUCAGGUUUCUUUUUGUAACACUGCAUCCACAGGGCCUCCCCUCCUCACACCCCUCCUCCCCAGCUAGUCACUCAAGCUCUAGAUGCCGAGUUCCAGCUUACUUUGGGGACGGACACCCCUCUUUACAGAGCGUGCACUCAUCUCUUUGGCUUCCCCUUCCAGGGGGGAUCUGGGAGGGCCCGUGUUCUGGGCCUUGAUUUCUCCAAGUGCAUCACGAAGGAGGAGAAUCUUUGCCCUUUGGGGAACACGGGGUCGUUGGUUUUCAGCCUUGUCAUCAGUAACAGUGGCCAGGGUGAGUCUCUUCAGGACACUGCCUUGCUUGGGUGUCUCCACCUCUUUGCAGACAGUCAUGUUUUUUCUUUUGCUAGGAGGUGUGGGUCUGGCCAAGAGUUGCAGUUGCGGUAGUGAAUAAUGCAGCAGAGAAGGACCUGGCCAGACUGGAGGUUUUCCACCCCACUGGGGAUGGGUAGGGGCAGAAGUGUCAUGUUUCCUACAGACACCCCCUCCAAGUGUCCUUGCCACAAAACUCCCGCAGAUUUUCUAGUAGCCAAGCUUUGGCACGGGCUGUAGACUCAGUGUCCUUACUACAAAUUUCAGCUACACACUGGAUUGUUCUUUUCAGUUUUGUCUCUUGAAGUCAGUGGGUGGCGGCAAGGUAUCCUCCCUUGAUCGCGCACAGAAAUCCAGGAAACAAGGAAAGCUGGGCUUCCCUGUACUGGGAUCCAAAGCCUUCCUUGGCUUUGAAGAGCAGGGGGCUGAGCUGAGAGAGAGCUUAGGUGGUGGCCAGAGUGGAGUCAGACACUGGGCUUGUGCCUUAGCGCCUGGUCCUGCAUCAGCCCUGCUUUCCGUACGUGCAAGGGGAGGGAGGCGCAGAGAGGACCCCAGCCUUGUUUUGUGGCGGUCCCCAUCAGGGCCAUUGGCUUUUCUGCCAAGAAUGGCUUGAGGCCCUUGCAGUUGUCAUUUUUGCCUUCCGGUUAGUUCAGAAACAUGGAUACCUCCCUGUUCUUGAUUCCUCCCGGCUGUGCCUCUCCCCCUCCUGAGCUGGAAGUGUUACUUCCUUAUCAGUGAGCACAGAGAGGCUCAUUGAUAACCCAAUUAUCCACAGGGUCCGAACACCUCGACUCCCUCGGGUAUCUCGGGCAGCAUGGUUAAUUUUUCCUUCCCGUCUUUCUUCUGGAAGGUCAAGGGGAGCCCACAGAACCCCUUUUCUCCAGGAAGGUCCAGUGAGAUUGGCACCUGCCCACCGUGGUCCCUGCAGUUGUUGGAGGAGCCCGCCCUGGGAGGCUUGCCAGCACAUUCUGGCUUCUCUUCCAAACUCUGCUUGCCUCUGAAACUGCUUGUGGGUCUGGGCCCCGUGUGCGGUGUGUGUGUCUGGCUGCUGAGCCAGGGAGCCCCGCAGUCCUCUGUUGGGGAGCCAUGCUGCUGUGCCCACAGCCCUCUGAGGUGUCCUAGAAGGCAGUGGUGGAGGUGGCCAUCAUCUGUAUUCAAGGCAGUCCUGCCUGGCCGAGGUGGGCUUGGCCAGCCUGGCAGUGCAUAUACAAAUAGGUCUUGGUGUUGGGCAGCUGCUGGAUGGGUACUGAGCUCCUUUUGAGAUCCAGGGUCCUGCCGGCCCAAGUCAGGGCUGGGGUAUCCUUGCUGCCAGUCUCCUCCAGCUUUGCUGGCUGAGCCAAUUCACAAGGUAGAAAUUCAGCUUCCUUUCCUUUUCCCAAACCAGGUGAUUUUUUCAGACCAAUAAAUAAAAUUCCCUCUUGGGGGGGGGGUGUAGCUUAGGGUUAGAACAUUUGCUCAGCACAGUAUGGGACCCUUGACAGUAAAACACACACACACACACACACACACACACACAUACACACACGAGGCAGAAAAGAACAUGUUCAGCCAUAUUCUCCUAGCCCACUGCCCAUCUCCCAGCCCUGUGUGUGUGCCCUUCCCUCCCCCAACCCCCAUGCCCUGUGGCCCCCGUGGCAAACCCAAGUUCCAGCAAACCCGUGAGUGAAUGUCCUUUUUCUUUUCACAUUGGGCUUAAAAUGUUGAGCCACUCCACAUGAGCGGGGCUAGGUCUCUUGGUGGUGUUUUUUGUCAAUCUUGAAAGGGUGGAGUAGGGGUUGGUCUGAGUCUUUUUAAGAAGGAAGGAGCAAGCUGGUAUUGAAAAGGUCUUUCCCAGGAGGCCCCAGGGCUCCGCCAGUAAGGCUGUCUUCCUUUUCCUAAGGCUGCCACCCUGGAGCAAAGGUCAGGGGAGAUGAUGGGCGAGUUAUGCAAGCUUUCCCUCUCCUUCCGGCCUGACUCUGGUGGAGGGUGUCUGUGACGUUGCCCAUGGACCUGGGUGCUAGGUCCUCAGGGCCCUGGAAGCUCACAGGCAGGUGACCCACUCAGCAUCUCACAUUGACCACGAAGAGGUUGCUAGCUGUUCUUCCAGGAGGCUUCUUGGCAAACUGAGGCUUGGACAGGUGCUGGAUAUUGCUUUGAUACCCACAGGGCCUGCUGCGGUCUGGAGUGAGCUCCAUGGGGGAGGGGGGCACUUGAGUAGAAGAGUCAAUUUUCCCAGGGGGCUUCAGCUCUCCUCCUUGGAGUGAAGCCCCCUCUGUGUGGGGUAUGCGUUCUCCUCUAUUUAUCUUCUUCUACUGUCUCAUUUUUCUACGCCAGGCUGGCUUCGCAUCACAGUGGUCAUCCCACCAUGAUUUUGUCCCAAACCAGACCUCCGAGCUCCUGGGACACGAACUUUGUGGGUGGUCCAUGGCCAGCAUAUUUUAUGAGGAAACCCAGCCCCUACUCACACCCGUUUCCCGAGUACACCAUGCGUGUGGCAGUCAUUCACCAAAGUUCCUUGAGAGUCUUAGGCAAGCCCCUGACCCCGUUAAAUGGGAAACAUGACAGAACUCUGGGAGGAGGGAGGGCUUCUUUGAAUGACAGCCUAUGAGUGCACGAACCUUCUCUUGGAUGGAACACCCAGUGCAGAACUUAAGGCAGGGGAGCCUGCUGCUGCCCACCGCUCUGGCUCGAGGGUCAGGAGAGCCAGAGUGAACUCUGUCUUCCCUGAUCUGACCUGAUCAGUGACCUCGCUGACCCUCAGUGCCUGUUUCCUCAUUCGUAAUAUCCUGCCUCUUUUAACUGGGCCUCCAGAGAAUGGGUCUGUGACUUCAUCUGGAUACCGUUUUUUUCAUGCCGGGAAGUGCCACUUGGGAAUCGUCACCUUGGGGUGUAGGUAGGGAACCCCCUAGCCCAUGCUCACGAGUGGGGCUUUUCUGCCUGUCCUGUCUUCUUGCCCAGUUGAACAGAAGAAAAAUGGCUUGGUAGUCAAGAAAGAGCAGAAUGUGCUAAGCUCAGGAGUUGGGAACUGGAGCGUGGUGAGGAGAGGCCAGGGUUUGGUCAGUGCGCACAUGGGACAAUAACCAUCGAGGGGAUGCGGUUGUCCCUACGUGCAGGUGAAGCCCUGAAGUUCCAGUGACUCAGAGCUCAGUGCCUACGAAGGAAAAUGGUCCAGAUAAAUUCCGUGACCUCUUUAGAUGCCCAAGUCUUGGGUUGUGCUAGGGAAGGUUUGUCAGGAGCAGGAGGGCAGCUGGGAGUCGGGGUUGACCUCAUAGCUGUUCCUUAAAGCAGGAAGGGAAACAUUAGCUCGAGUUUAAUGAGCAUCUACACUCCGAAGUUCUCUGUACCUUCACAGUGAUUCAUGCCAUCUGGCGUGGGAGUGGCAGUUAAGGAGCGUCUAUGUAGUGAGUGUCCUGUAGGCUGAUCUAAGGUUAGGAACAAGAAGCUCUGGGCCUCCAGGAUGGCCUCGACUCUGGCACUGGCCAUAGGAAAGAACCUUUGCUGUAGGCUCAGUCUCCCUCCCCAGCCCCUGUCUGCCUCCUUGGACCUCUGAUUUGCAUGUUAGGUGAUCCUGGGCUACAGGGGCAUCGGGUCAGACACUUGUGGGAGAUGUUUUGUCUCUCUCCCAGCAGGAGCUCCGCCCCCAUUACAGUAGUUAGGAAGUGCACCCAAACUUCUGUUGGGAUCCAGGUCUCUUGAUCUAUGCAGGGGCUUCUCUGGAGGGUUUCGGAAAUACAGAUAGCUAGUUUUCCUUUUCCACUUGGGGACAAGGAGACCUCAGUGGAAGCCACACGGCUUGAAGACAGGAACAGAAUCCUCUCCUACAGGGAUGGGAUUUUUAAUUUAAUUUUUCUAGGAUUUCGAUGGGUGUAGUGGAGAUCCAGAGAUCCAGGGCCACAUAGUGAGACCCUGUCUUUAAAAUUAAAAAAAAAAAAAAAGAAUUUUUUUUUUUUUUUUUUUUUUUUUUUUUUACUUUAUGUGUAUGAUUGUUUUUGCCUGUUUAUAUGUGCACCGAGUGUGUGGAAUGUGCUGCUGCAAGUCAGAAGAGGGUGUGGGAUCCCCGGGAACUAAAGUUACCUAUGGUACCCGGAACCAAACCAGAGUCUUCUGCGGGAGAAGCCAGUGUUCUUAAAUUAACACAGAGCCACCACCGCUCCAGCCCCUGCCCUUGUGAUCUUAAAGUCAGGGAUAACCCCCGCCACUUCCUCUAAGCUAUCCUUCAACCUGGUCUCUGUCACAUCCUUUCUCUCCCUGUAGGCAUAUGGUUCUGGACAGACAGGGAGCUGGGUCACCUAAGGGUAGGUGCCUGGUCUUAAUGAAUCUUCUCUGGUCUCCAGCUGUCUGUGGGACAGGUCAGAAGACCUGAAGUCCUGUCCAUUCGUCAGUAGAUUUUCUAGAAGUGCUAGAAGUACUAAGGUACAGGACCCGCCCUGAAUGCUGGCAACCCUACUUCCUGGUCCCAUGUCCUGGGUCCCGGAUGGCCGGUCUUUACUGUCUUCUGGGCCAAUUCCUUUCUCCCCACUGGCAUUGGGCAGGUCUAGGAGUCCCUCUGUACCUUGCUGCAGGGUCCUUUCUCUCCCUUCGUCUCUCCCUCUGUCAGUCAGUGCUGUCCUAGAAUAGAUGGCAUUCAGUGUGCUGGCCCCUUGGAGCGGAGGAAACGCCUGGCCAGGAAGAGCCGGAAACCCUGAGCAAGCCGCGUGGAAUCCUCUGGCUCUCAACGGGGAAGCUGGGAGGGAAGGGGACCCACCCUUGGUUCUGUCAUUCCUGUCUGUCCAUUUGGGACCUGGGGUCUUGGUCCUCUUGAUUCCUAGACUUGGCACGAGCCUGGGGGUGGGGUGGGGGCGGUAUGACUCCUAAACUAUCUUUCGAAUGGCUACAAAUUAGUGUACGAGGUCUGCAAAGAAGUGGUGUGUAUUCCUCGCCCCUACAACAGCCGGGCCCUAGGUCCUCACUUCGGGACAGGACCCAGGCUGCUGGGGCUGCCUGCGACUACACACACCAGUCCCCUGAGAUGGUGAUCUGACUGGUGCUCUGGAGGCCAGGCGGCCUCUGUCUGGGCCACCACUCCUCCUGAGGGCCUGAUGGAAUUACCAUCCUCAGCUGCUAUCUGAUGGUGCCGAGUUUAGGGCGACACCGAACUUUUGGCGCACGCCUGUUUGCUGGGGCUGAAGAUGUCCGUCUGCUCCUGUUCUUGAGACCCCCUCCCUAGUUUUCUGGAAUACACAGUCAAUGUACCCUCAGAGCCAGGGAUGAGGGGCCGGUGGAAAGGCUGGGGAGUGGCGUCUCUUAUUUUAAACUGGAUAGAGCCCGGUCACCUCCCUCCCAUUUCUUCAUUUCCUCUUCUUGGCAGCAAAUGGUAUUUAUCUACCUCCAAAAAAUUGAAACCAGCCACGGCGGUGGUGGCGCUGGCGGCCGUGGUAGCGGUGGCAGCAGUGGUGGUGGUCGUGGUGGUGGUGACAGUGGUGUGUGUACAAGCUUACCCUCUCCUAGGUCAUAGCUAGUGCUGCACUCUUUGCCUUUGCGGUUCCUCACCCACUUAUUUUUUAUUUUUUCUUUUUUUUUCGGAGCUGGGGACCGAACCCAGGGCCUUGCGCUUGCUAGGCAAGCGCUCUACCACUGAGCUAAAUCCCCAACCCUCCUCACCUACUUAUUAACUGAUGAUUGAUUGAUUGAUGAUUAAUUGAUGAUUGGUUGAGGCAUGGUCUCACAGUGCAACUCUGGCUGGCCUGGAACUCACUAUGUCGACCAGGUUACUUUGCAUUUACAGAGAUCCUUCCCUCUGCUAGGGUUAAAGGCCUUUGCCACCAGACCUGGCUGAUUAGCAAGGCUGGGGGGGGUCAGGGUUGUAGGCAGAAGAGGCAGAGAGAGGGCGGUUUAAGGUCGGUUUGUGUUGGCCUCCCGCCGACCUGCGCCUUGUGGGUACCCAAGGACACAACACCAACGCGCCCAGUUGGGGGCUGGCAAGAGGCUGCGGAAAGCUAGGCCCAUUUUUCACACUGUCCGCAGGUCAGCGUGUGCCUCCCUCCCCCAACUGCUCUGUGUUAUGGCACAGAUGCAUCCACAGCACUCGUGCUCGGGACAGGCCUGCCCUGAAGGGAGUGGUAAUGGCUGUUAGGCUGUAUUCAAGGGGACAGAUGUAGGCAGGGCCAGUGGCACGGGGAGACGGUAGCUGUUGAGUACAGCCGACCCAUUUCCAGAAAUAGAACAUCCACUGUCAGGGGGUGCAUCUCUUUGUCUCCCCAAAUCUGCCUUCCCGUCAGCUUUCCCGUUGUAAGGCAAGAAGGAGACUCGCUCUUGUCUAGGAAUCAGAGGCUCCAGCGAAGCGCCCAGCUCCCCUGCCCGUCACAAGGGCCUGAUUGUGUGCGGGGCCUGAAUGCACCCGCCUGCGGCCAUGUGCGGCACCGGCUGGCCUCCCUAAUGAGCCCGCUCUGGGAGUGGCCCUUUGUGGCAGGUUCCGGCCACAGCGCCUGGGCCAAGGCUCUGUUUCCCAGCCGCUUGGCUGUUUAAUGACUCCCCGCUGGCGCUGUUGGGACAACGGGAAGCUCCCCUUGCGCCUACCCUUUCUGUCGCCCACAUUUUCGGCAGUGCGCGCACCCCACCUUUCUGCGCAUUCCAAGAUGAGGAGGGUCUGAUUCUUUUCAGCUCCUGCCCUCACUGGCAUGGCCACUCUCCCUUCCUCUGCCCUUAGGUCAGCUCCUCCUGUGGGGACACCACUCCCCCCCCCCCCAAUCUCCUUUCUUUUGUUCCUCUUGGGUCUCUCCCCAGAUCCUUCCUUGCAAACAGGCUAGUGUUUCCUUAUCCAGAGCAAUAAAACUAAACCCGUCCUUCUACUACCCUGCUCUCCUCUGUUGGAGGUGGGGAUGGGGUGGGGGCAAGGUCCCCUCGGGAUGGACCAGAGAGCUCCUGCUGCUCCCUGCAGCAGACCCUGGGAAAGGCGCCCCCCCAUCCCCGUUAGUAGUGUCUGUCCUGUAGCAUGCGAUGCCCCCUGACAGUUGUCCUCUGGAACCCAGACUGUCCCACCCCCACCCCACCCCCCACCCCCGUGCCUCUGACAGCAAUGUCAGCUCUUGAGUACUCUCUCCAGCCUGAGCUUCUGCCUUUGGUUGUCCGUCCUGGGGUUGCUGGCCACCUGCAUCCUGUGGAUCUGGGGCCCCUGCCUCUGCCCUGUGUCCCCAUACUCUCUGCCUGAACCUUGGCCAGCUCCUCUUCAAGGUCCCUCAGUUGCGGCCCUGGGCUGUUCAUCGCCCCAGCUGCUUCAGUCUAGUGUGAUUGCCAUGAGGGGUGGGGGGUGGGACAGUGCUCCUCAGUGCAGAGGCAGCCGUGUCUGGAGCCUUUACCUGGAGAUAGGGGGCAGUCUAUGGACAUCUCUGCAGACAGCGCUGCCAGUGUAGACGGAUCUCCCUCCGUUCUGCGACUCCCAUCUCGCCCCCAACAAGUUGGGACAUCUGAGUAUGGACUUGGGGACUUCAGUCCAUACCCGUCAAGCACAGUGACUUGUUACCUGGGUCCUGGGGUUUUGGCCUGGAGCCUGCUCACUGCUCAGGCACACCUCAGGCCCUCCCGUGGCACCCCUUCCCCCUGCUCCUGUGCCCCCUUCACAGAGGCUCCCAUUGGUCCUUGAGGCAAACAAGCACAGGACGUGUGACAUGUGGCCCUCAUUUGUUCUGUGUCUGUGGGAAGCCUUUGCCUACCAAGCCAGGGUCAUAGUAGGUCCCAGGGUUGCUCAUGGGUAGGAUGUGGCUGGGGGUGGCGGAGAUGUGUCUGCAGGAAACUAGAGCAUGGCGAGGGUCCCCGGGCUCCUAGGGUCCUAUCCAGAACCCAGCCAGUUGAUUGGUUCCCAGCUGAGAGCUUCUUACUUUUCAAAGGAGGCCAAAAGGGAAAGAAAGGAAACAGUUUGUGAACUGAAGGGGGUAGCAGGGUAGGGACACAGGCCAUCGGUAUGCUUCCUGCCCUGCGUUCUCUCUUGGAGGAGAGGCGGAAGACCUGCCCUGGACACUGGACACCAUUGUUUACUGACUCUCACUGCUAUUGAUUACUUGGGGUGCCCAAGGCUGUGACUGGUAAGUGGGCAUGCCUCUCUCGGGGUUAAACGAGCUGCCAGGGUCCAGCUGUGGGCCAUUGCGCUAGCUGUCUCUGGCGAUAAGUCCAUUAGACACCACACCUGAGGCUCUUUUCCCGACUCCCACCGCUCACUGGAGCCUCACUGUGCUGAGCAUGCUCCGUGCGUGCGUGUUUCAGGGUGACAUUGAAAUGAUCUCAGUGACAUAGCCUAGAAAGACUUGAUAUAGCAUCCUACAGACUGUAGGGGGUGAGCGGGACCCUGGGGCUUCCCUGAUCCCACAGCAGGUCCGUGGGAGCCUUGGUCUUACUUUGUGUGUACAACAGCACAGUUGAAGUGGAAGGAAGGGCAUCUGCUGGGAGCAGGGGCAGGCGUCAUCGCUCGUGUCAGUGUGACCCUGGACUCCUUAACUGCUUGAGUUUCCUUGUCUUCUCCCCAGGGCACGCCCUGCUCAGCUAGCCCCCUCUGCAGAGUUUCUUGAGAACAGCUAGUCCAGUCCCCCCAAGCUCUAAAGUGUGAGGACUUCUCCUGAGACAGUCUUGGGGAGCUCCUUCCAGGAAUGUGUGGUCAUGAGGCCCUGAUCCAUCUGCUGGUGUCCCCUCCGUGGGAGGUGGUCCCCAAAGCUGGCACCUCUUUGAUCUGCAGACCCCUGGCCCCACCCCACAACUUAGUGGGAGCUUGUCUUGUCCCACUGGUGCUAGCCUGGUUGUGGGCACUGUGACCAGCUGCUGAGGCAGAGGCCAGCAGGAGUGAGAGCCUUGUAGGCCCGUCUGUUGCCCGCCAGGCUCCUUGAACUCCAGGCGCUCCUGGUAGUCAGGGAUUCUGGAAACAUUCAUAACUUUUGGGGUUAUCCAGGUUACCUGCUGUCUAGAUCUGCUAGGGCAACCUCAGGGGCCCUUUGUUGGGGGAAUGACUUCAGCAUAUCCCCCACAGCCCAUCUCCCGCCCUCCUCCAGCUCCUGAAAAGUCUGUUCCUUGUCCCAGGGACACAACCAAUAGCUUUCAUCACCACGUGUCUCAGAGCCAAUGAAGAACGCAGUUCUGGGGUUAGUGAGCCCAGGGCUUUUUAAAAAACAGAAGUCAACCGGAGUCAGGAAGCCCUCCCGAGCACAGGGUAGGAAGUGGAGGGGCGCAAUGAGUGAGGCAUCCAGGUAUCCUGAGCUGGCAGAACAUCCUGGGCGUCCUAGCGGGCCUGGUGUACGCCUGUUGACUGACAAGCUCUUCACCACCUGUCCCCAGAGACAUGGUGUGUCUCUUGAUGGGUAGUGGUGGUGGUGGUGGUAUGUGUGUGUAUGUAGGAGGCUGUGUUUUCAUGUACACACCCACACGCUUCUUUCUCCUGAUUGUCUUUCCCCAGUCUCCCCAGCCUCCGUUACUUAUCCGUGGGUUGGGAUGGUCCCAUAGGUUCUCUGGUGCCCAGAGACCCUUGAGGAGCUCAGGAUAGAUAGAUCCAGAAGUCCAAACCUGUCCUAGUUUUCAGCCUCACGUAGGUGGCUGCUCCCAGAUUAGCCGCUUUCUCCGUCUAGACAAACCAGUAGUAUCUUAUUUUCCUUCAUUCUUGUUUUGGGUCUUAAGGACUUACAGUAGCUGCGGCUGAGUCUCUGCUCUCCAGCUGUCACUUUCCAAAUGCUUAGCCAGUUGGGGGCCUAGUCUGACCCAGAAGCAGCAGCCACGGAUCGAUCGGAUCGUUUACUGCACCCACACUUCUUGGAGGAGUUGACUUACCCUGCCCUCCCUCCUUCCCUACUGGCAUCACCUGUCAACUUCACAUCGCUGCCCCAAGCCAGCCAUGGGAAGAAAGGGGAGGCUAGGGACAGGAGACUCGUUUGCGUCUUCUUAAGAAAACUUUAUUUCUGUGCACAUCAUUGUGUGUGCAGGGGUGGGGAGUGUGUGUAUGCACACGUGUGUGUGUUUGCAGUGGGGAGCAUGUCUGUGGAGGUUGAGGACAACUCUGAGGAGUUACUUUUCUUCUGCCAUCAUGGGAUUCGAGGAUUGAACUCAGGUGGUCAGGUUUUCCAGGGGAAGCCCCUUCACCGGCUGAGCCGUUCCAUUGGCCCUUCCUUUGAAUGCUGACCUUGCCCUUGUGCACCUGGCCUCUGGUGACUUUCUGAGGUGUUAAUGGCCUCCUCCCCCUCCUGUUACACGAAGCUGCCUUGGCUGUUGUUUCCCUAGGUGAAAAAGAGAAGCCCAGGAGUGGCAGGGCUAGCCUGAGGGGCAAAGAGAAAGCUCGAGCCUCCCAUAGACACCUUCACCUUUGACUCCAAAUGCUGCAAAAUUACACCAGUUCCCUCUGGGGCAUACAGGACCCUGAGCGGAUUCCUAAAGCCUCAGCUAGUACUGAACUGUCUGGUUUUGUGCGUGUGUGCUGAUGAGGGAUAUGGGGAGGGGUGUGUGUGUGUGUGUGUGUGUGUGUGUGUGUGUGUGUGUGUGUGUGAGAGAGAGAGAGAGAGAGAGAGAGAGAGAGAUAUGAGGGAGAUGGGGAAUGGGUGGGUGCCACCUUUGCACAGUGUGGUUCCCAGGUGGGAUUCCUAUCAUCGAAGGAGAAACACGGGGUGGGGGUGUGGAGUGAGACGUCACAGGGCUCACAGCCAAGUGUUUAUAAAACUCACUAUUUUGAGGAUUUUCUACAUAGUGUCCUUGGGCUCUGGUCAGCUGUGGACCACCAAAACUGCGGAGAGUAAAGCCCUAAAAGAGAGAUGACUGUACCCAGGGCCACGUGCAUUUUGGGUCUCUGCACGCAGGAAGCAGCCUGUCUCAUCCUGCCUUGCCCUUCCCUCCCCGCCCGUGUGUGUUCAGCACAGACGCCGGUUUACCCUUCAGGGGCUGCUGAUUGGCACCCAAUAUAGUGCAGGCAGCAGGCCUUGCUUUGGGGAGGUGGUGUGGGUGUGUAGCCGUGCGGGCAGAGGCAGCUGGGAGGGCCUGGUAGGGGGCUGGGUCACCUCAGGGAGGCUGACUUCACUGUUGUUCAAGUAGCCAUCUCUGAUGGGGCUGUACGUGAGGGACUCUAGAGUAGUGGCCUGCCUGCUCCGCUGUCCUACUUUUGCAUAUUUGGAGGAGCGUGUGGGAAGGCUGGAAGCAGACCCUCUGGCAUUCUGGGGAAUCUGGAACAGACUCUGUGGGCCUCUGUUUGCCUCUGACCUCGUUCUGAGAAGUGUGGCUGCCUAGAGGUGUCUGUCCAGGCCUCUGGAGUCUGUAGUCCUCACUUUGGGCCUUUUCCUGUGGAACCUCAAAGACUACAGGGUGUGAGGCGAUGCGGCCGUGUUGGGUGGGGAGGGAGCGCUCUUCCGCCCCAGACUCAGCUUUUUUACCGUAGAGUAGACAGACUCCUUUAUAUCUGUGUAUGAUUCUGGUGAACGAACACCAAGUGCUCACGCACAGGUAGGAGCUUGUGAGGGUCAGGAGAGGUCAUAGGAUUCCUGGAAGCUGGAGCCACAGGUAGCUGUGAACCGUCUGACAGCUGGACAUGGUGCUGGGAACCUCUUUUGCAAGAGCAGUUGUUUUCUUUCUUUCUUUCUUUCUUUUUUAAAGACGUAUUUAUUUUAUGUAUGUGGGUGCACCGUAGCUGUCUUCAUCCAUACCCGAAGAGGGCAUCAGAUCCCAUUACAGAUGGUUGUGAGCCACCAUGUGGUUGCUGGGAAUUGAACUCAGGACCUCUGGAAGAGCAGUCAGUGCUCUUAACCACUGAGCCAUCCCUCCAGCCCCCCGAGCAGUCUUUUUCUUAACUGCUGAGCCGGCUCCCUGUCUUCUGAAGUGGACUCUUGGUUUGUUUCUUCUUUUUCAAGACAGGGCCUUGCUAUAUAGCCCUGGCUGUCCUGGAACUCACUGCGUAGACCAGGCUGGCCUCGGGCUCACAGAGAUUCCCCCUGCCGUUGCCUUCCCAGCUGGGAUUUAAUGGUGCAGAUGCAUCACCACUCCUGGCUUGAGGCAGACUCUUGACUUAAGUGAUAUCUGAGGAUCUGGGCCACCGAAUACUUGUCUGCAGUUCCUUGAUUUUUUUUUUCCCCCUUUUAAAAACUAAUAAGAGAAUUUACAAGCAAGAUCCUGCCCCAUCCGAGGUGCUGGAGGAAGCUGUUCUGACCGCCUGUCAGUCAGCCUUGGGUGUAGAGGAGGCUCUGGGCUGUAGAUGGUGCCUCCUGACUUACACAGGAUGAGGGUCUUGGGCCUUCAAGGAGGAGGCCGACAGGACAUGGGAAAGUAGGGUGUCACCCAAGGAGUCCCUCUUGGAAUGCUGGGCUGUCCUGAGGCAGGGCUGUGGGAGGUGAGCCAUCCUAGUCCCAUUGCUUCUCCAUGUCUGUUUUACCUGUUUAGAGGGCCCUGGGAGUCAUACAGCCUGUAGCAGGCCUGGCGGAGGAUUUGUGGGCCAGGCGGAGUGGAUGUCAGCUUUUGCUCUGCCCCAUCCUCCCCUGUUGGCACCACCCCACCUUGUCCCAUCCAUAGGAACGGGCAACACCCCUGGUCUAACCUGGGGCCUUGCUACAGGUACAUCUUCCUUUAGUCAUGGGGUCUUGAUGGAAGGAGCAGCGGGUGGUCCACGUGUGAGUGUGAGAGGGCCUUCUUUCCAAACCGGCCUGCAGUCGUCAGUUGAGGGCUCUGGGAAGAGGGGCCGUCACCUGCCUCAGUCUGGUGAAUGUUCACACAGGGGACCAUGGGUUUCACCUCACACUCCUGCUCUGGUGAGUUCCCAGGUGUGGGUGUUUCUGAGUCCCCAUACUGUGUGCCUCAGUGUCCCCACCUCAGGAGCGGGCUUUAGUGUUUCAGUGCCCUGACCUUCAGAAUUCUGGGUCAAGCCUGCUCCAGUGGCCAUGCCACCUGCCGUGGUAGCUGUGGAUGGCAGAUGGGAUCCAUGUGCCUCGGGUGCUUGCUGUGGUCUGGUUCUCUGGUCCCCAAGCUGCAUCCUACUUGGCCAAGCGUGGGAAGACAGAUGGAGGGCUGUCUCCAGUGUGGAAAGAGUAAGAGUAAGGCACCGGUCUCUGUUGGAGCCCUGGAGGAGCUAGGGACUUGGUCUAUUCAAGUAGGCUUCACCUACUCUUGUGCUUGCAAGGCACCUCCUUCUUGAGGUUCAUUGGUCGGGCCCCCUGAAGUUACCUGCAGACCAGUCUGUCACACACACCCGGGCUUCGGAGUUGCAUGGUGUGGGUAUCACUCACGAUGGUGGAGAGCGAGAUGGAGACAGCCUUCUGUCCAACUGCUGCCCCCCCCCCCAAACCCCAUGUCCCCAGUGUCUCCUCAGGCGGUGACCCAGGGAAGAAGUGGCCCAGGCCUGGGAACUCAGCUGCCUUCCUGCUGUGCUUGGAAUACUGGCUUGGUUUUGUCAUGCUGACUUGCUGGGCAGGUCCCUGGUGAGUGCUGACACUCUCGUUUGUCACCUAGGUUUGGGAGGGCCCUUGCACCUGGGCUCUUGCUGUGGGGUUCACCCGUGUGGUCCCAGACAAGCCACACGGAGCCAAGUGCCUCAGUCUCCACCUCCGUACUUAGUUCUGUCAUUGGGCUGAUGAGGACCGUGGACAAGAUGUGGGGGGCACAUUGACAUCAGCCUUCAAAGCUGAGACACCGUAUGAUUUCCCCUUCACUCAUAGGGGACCACGAGGCAAAGAGAAGCUGUGUAGUCUGCUUAGAACCCCCCCCCCCGCCCCCCGCAUAGACAGCAGCAGCGCUGGGGUCUGACCUCGAACACCUGGGUCCCCUACCUAACCCCACCCGUUCUGCUUCUGUAUGCCAGCGAGCACCUUUUCCAUGGCUGACUUCACUUGCCCCUGACCGAUAGCUCUCUGUUACAGAAUGCUAGAGCAACCCCUGCUUUCCCCACCGGCACCCAGAUGUCCUGCCCCUGCGGUGGGGCCAUGUUGACCCUGUGGUGGUCGGUUAGCCUGGAAGUCCACUUACCCAGGAGGACCUGCUGUUGAACUGGAUGCCUAAGGUGGUCAUUCUUUCUGGAGGGUGGUCCUCUUCUUCCUGAGGGGCAGUGGACUCGGCAGGUCAGACGCUAGUAGAAAGCUCAGCUUCUUGACUCCACAACCCACGUGGUCGAUUUCUUCAAGUAAGUCAUAGACGCCUGUUUAUGCCUGGGAAGGGCAGCCCCCGCACCCUCCACAAGCAUGAGCGCGUGCUUUGCUUAUCCGAUAGGUGCUACUGGGUUAUCUGCCGGUGUGAUUGGGGGCCACAGUCUGGAUCGUGGAGGGGGCAAGCAUCUGGCCCCCACGUUUGUCUGGGCUCCGGGUGAAGUGGUGCAGGCAGGUGGGUGUGGUGUGAUGGUCAGAUGCUCAGGGCAUUGCCCUGGACAAGCCUCCCAGGUGGGGCGGAUCCCCCAGCUGCAGUCUCAUUUGGUGCCCUUAGGCCUCAGGCUCUCCCCUGUCCCUCACACCUGCGGCUUAUCUCCCCAUGCCACCUGCCCCUCCCUCCACAGCCCGAGGCUCACGGUAGAAAACCUCUUGGAAGAUGUGAAAAUGUUCAUUAAUGCAAGUUAGAAAUUGCUGGUAACCCUUCCUGUCUUCAGAUCCAUGCAUUACCAAGCAUUAGGGACCCUAGCACAAUGUGGAGACACUGACCCUAGACCCGCCCUUUUUGUCGUAUGAGGUUUUUUUUUUUUUUUUUUUUUUUUGCUUCUUUUUUUUUUUUUCCGGAGCUGGGGACCGAACCCAGGGCCUUGCGCUUCCUAGGCAAGCGCUCUACCACUGAGCUAAAUCCCCAACCCCGAGGUUUUAUCACCUGUGUUAGACUCAUGUGCAUAAUUCAUUUUAAUUAAUUUAAAUUUUGGAUGUGUGUGUGCAUUGUAUAUUUGUUUGCCCGUGUGUGUGUGUGUGUAUGCGCGCGCGUGCGUGCGUGUGGUGGGGGAUGUCCUGAUUUCUCUUUUCCACCUUAUUUCCUUGAAACGGUUCCCCGGAGCCUGGAGCAAGGCAGGAGGUCAGUCAGCCCCAACCAUCCUCCCACCAUCUCCGGGUGCUGGGGUUACAGGUAGGCUCAUGCACGCCCAGCUUCUUACAUGAGUACAGGAGAUUUGAACUCGUGGCCUCAUGCUUGUACAGCAAGCACUCUCAGGCACUGAGAUGUCUCUCCAGACCUCGGUAUGUGUGCAUUUUUUUAAAAUGAGCUUUUUCUCCCAGGUGGUUGUUAGACCUGGAGAUAAAUGGUGAGGGCUGGCAGUGAGUGCAGCCCGGGCAGCACGUGUCCUGGCUGCUCUCCUCCCAGCCUCUACAACAUCAGCAGCUUUCACAUUAGCUUUCACAGCGGAGUGGUGCAUUUGCUCCAGGGGAUGAGCCAGCCUGGGAUGAGCCAGCCCCAGUCAGUCAGCAUCAGCUGGAGUCCCUGCUCUGGUCAGAUUUCCUUAGUUUUUACUCCAUGCCCUUUUUUUUCUGUUGGAGCGUAUCCAGGACACACACUUCAAAGGUACAGGUUUUGCCGCAUGUGCUGGCUGCAGUUUCCUACCUUCCAUUUCUUGUCACACGCGCAUGUCAGGAUGGCUGUUCUCUUGGUUUUGAUCUCCUGAGUGCUGGGGUGAAAAGUGUGCACCGGGCUAGGAUGACCGUUUUUUACACACCAUUCUAAGUGACCGUCUUCUUGUCCUGUCCCGUGGAUGGGCCACAUCCCAGGUACCCCGGGCUGAUCAGAAGGGGGUCUCUGAGGCCUGCCACACCUAUGAUGCACUGGUCAACACCUGGGCUUCUUAGGUCACAGCUCCCCAAUCUGACAAAGCGGGCUUCAGGCAGGCCGGCCAUCUGCUUUCAACUAUGGUCACAGCCUGGUGGCACACCAGACUCCCCGGGCAUCUACUGGCCACUAGCUGUGCUUGCCUGAGCUGCCAAGGCUGAACACAAGGCCCAUGCCUGAAGCAGCCUGACCCAGGUGGACAGAGUGUGCUCUUUGGUGGAGGAGCAGGCCAUCUGUGUGCUGGCCCUGGAAUCUGGAUCUAGGCCCACUCCUUUCCCCCUCUGGAGAAGCUGGGUGCCCUCAUGUGUCAUCGUUGGACUGUUGGGAGAAGCUGGCAGGGGUUUUCGGGUGUAGCAAUGGUCUGUGACCAUUCACGAGCCUUCAUUGAUGGACAGCGUUGAAGAAGGCCAGGUGAGGACUGAAUAACCUUUUUGGUGCCAGAGUUAGGACCCACGACCUGGUGCCUGCUGAGUACCCCCUUUCUUGCUUAUCUACACCCCGGCCUCCGAGCCCCCCUUGUCUUAACCAGCUUCAUCACUCAGGUCAAAGAUUGCUGUGUUUAAAAAUAGCUGCUCCUAUCUCGGGCCAUUUCCACAGGGUCCUGGUUGCCCAUCCCCCCUCCUUGUGGCCUCUCAGGGAAGGUCGAGAGCAGCAGGUCCUGGCUACAGGAUGUUUCUCUGUGAGCCCAUUGAGAAAUCCCCCUGGAAAUCCUCCUUUGGCCCAGUGCAACCGCUGAGAGAAUCGGAGACAAUGGGGGACUUGGGAACAAAAGGCACUAUUCAUUGUUCGGGCUGCCUGAGCUGGGGUCAGUGGGUGCCCAGCUAGGACAGUCAGACCCAUGCCCAGGCCAUGGAUUUCUGCUUCCCAGGAGCUUGGCCGUGAGUGAGCUGCAUGGGGGAGGGGACGAAGGGAGCAGCACUGUUGACCCAGAUCCAAGGCUCCCCUUCCCCCAGUCUUCUCUCUCAGGAAGAGGAGUUUCAUUCAGCAUUUAUAUUCAGGAGCCACGUCCACGCGGGAAGUCACCAACGGCGAAGGCCUUGCCAGUGGUGUGGGUGGUGACCUGCCCCUGAGCUGCACGUGGUCUGGGCGCCACUGCCCUGCUUUCCCCUUCAGCCGCGUGAACCCAUGUCAGUUUGGUCAGCCCUGAACUUGGGGCCCUGGGUGUGACUGAGCUGUAGCUCUUCCAGGGCUGACAGCGGAGGGGCUCCACUCUCCCACACUGACCCUCUAAGUGGGCCACCGUGCCUCUCCUCCAGGAUGGCUACCUGCAAUCCUCAUUUUUGCCCUUCCAGAAUGUUCUUUCUGAAACAGGCCCACUCUGACCCUGGCCCUUCCAGGCCCCUUAGCUUCAGCAUCAACUUCAGACCAGGAACAAAAGUGGAGGCCAUCUUCUGUCUGCCUCUAAUUUCGUUCCUAGUCUAACCUCCCUCUACAGAGGCUUCCCUGACCCCAGGCCUGCACAGCUAAGUGCUGCCUCCUUUCCCUUGCCCGAGUGUCCCUUCCCUCACAGAGAGUCUCCCUUUUCCCCUUCUUUUUUUCUUCCUUUUCUCUUUCUUUUUUUCCUUCCUUCCUCCUUUCCUUCCUCCUUUUCUCCCUCCCUCCCUCCCUCCCUCCCUCCUUUCCUUCCUUCCUUCCUUCCUUCCUUCCUGAGCCAGGGUUUCUCCGUGUAACCCUGGCCAUCCUGGAACUCACUCUGUAGAUCAGGCUGACCUUGAACUCACAGACCUACCUGCCUCUGCCUCCUAAGUGCUGGGAUCAAGGGUGUGCCCCAUCAGGCCUGGCAGUGCUGUGCUCUCAUAAGCUUCUGUCUUGAACUCCCAGGGUGGCAAUGUAGCCUAUCACUGGUCUGUCACCCUCAGAGUGACAGGGUGAUCCCGAGGGUGGCUGGGGGUGCUGAAUUCAAGCUGCCCUGCUCUCCUGUCUCCCAGACAUGGGGGGUGGGGACGAGGUUGGAAGAGCUUGCUGACCCAGGACUGGCCACUCUGCUGACUGACUGACUUUCCGGGAACUCCCUGCUCUCUAGCAGGAAUGUGCAACUGAGAUUAAGGGACCAAUCCAGACCCCGCCUAAAUGACUUCGCAUGUGCGUGUGCCUGUGUGUUUGCAUAGGGGCUCACAGCUAGGGUGAGUCCAAGGCUAGGGUCACUCACUACACACACACACACACACACACACACACACACACACACACACACGUUCUUCCCUUUCUGAGUUUUCUUGUGUGGAGGGAUGAGUCAGUCAGAUGGACCAUGGUGGGUUGGUGGUGGCAGUGCCUAGCCUCAGACCAGCUCAGGUCAGCAGCCUAACUGGCGAGUGUCGUACCUCAGUUUCCACCUUUGUAAGAGAAUAAGCUACAGGGCAGACAGGAGCAGGUAUGUGGCUUCUCUCUCUAGCCACUCAGCUGCGGGAGCCUCCAGACUUGUUCUGACCCACAAAGACCCACAAGCAUGCUAGACUCCUGGCUGGGCCACCCCAUGCCUGCCUGUAGCAGUGUUGGCACCGAAUGUUCCCUCUCCGGCCAGGGUUCCUUUCUUCCUGGGUCCCUCAGCCAGGUGGGCUAGGGCUGGGUUCUGUGAAGGAAGGAGGGGUGGGAUUGCCCAGAACCUGGGUGGGUGCUCUAGGCUUAGGGAUGAGCCUGGGCUCAGGAUCUCCUUUGUCCUGCCCUCACCCCAGUUUCUCCUGACAGACAAGAUAAGUGUAUACAUGUUGCCUCAGUAGGCUCUUUUGGGUAGGGACCUGGAGGCUUCUCUUGGCCUAGACUGAGACAAAGACAAGAGGGAAGCUAUGGACUACCAGGAGGCUUCGGGGCUUGAUUUUGGGAAGAUGUGGAAGAGUGAAGUUGCGUGUGCGUGUACGUGUGCAUGUGCAUGUGUAGUUUUGACCCGUGCCCUAAUGGCCUGUUUUCUGUGUGUGUUAGAGUCUUGCCAGCCACACAGUUUACCCCUCCACCCACCUCAAUUACUGUGUGAGUGUGCACUGAAGUCCCCUGACCCACACACCCCUGCAGCUCCACCUGCCUCUGUUGCCGUGUGAGUGUAUAUAAAGUCUAUUCACACUUUUGCCUACCCUGAUCAUAAUGUGAGCGUGCGAGCCCAUGGCCUGGGCACACGCAUGUGCCAGUGACUGGAGUCAUUCCUCCCCAUAGCUUCUGUCUUUUUGCUCUUGACCUCCUGAUAAACGCUUGUGACUGCUGGGCCCUUGGCUGGGGGUUUAGCUCAUGUAAUUGGGAGAGAAGACAACUAUAUUUCCUUCAAGGUGGAUGUUACCCGACACUCUCUCACCUCCUCUCAACAACAGCCCCAAGCCCCAGCUUCCCUAAGCGUCUCCCUAGGGUGACUGAUUACUAAUUGGCUAGGAGGGUGUGGCAGGGCCCACAGGUUUGAGGUGGGAAGUGCUGCCUGCUUGCCUGCCUGCCUGCGGCUCCUGAGCUCUCCCAUCAACCCACAGUCCCACCGAGCUUGUGGAGGGGACGCUUUCUAGCUGUCUGCCCCAACCAUGUAUCCCAAAAGGGUCCAUGCUUAGAACCCACAGGCCUUCUCCGUUACUUAGUGAAACUGUUACCGCAGAUGUGUGUGUGUGUGUGUGUGUGUGUGUGUGUGUGUGUGUGUGUGUGUGGGAAUGGCCCUACCUAGGCCCAUAGGUGCCUCCCGGAGGUGGACAGUCCCCUUUAGAGCCUCAAGUAUAUGUCCUAAGACCUCCCUCCUUGCCUGAAGUUCUUCCCUUUCCUUGGUGCUCUGCCAUGUAGAGUGGUGGAGUGGCCGCUGCCUUCCGCACGCUAGUAUCCACAGCACGGUCCACCAUCCCUGUUGAGUCUGCCUAGCCAGCGCAGGAGGAAGCGUAGGUGUAAUUUGGAGAUGAGCUGCUCAGUCUUGCCCCUGAGCAUCAGUUUCUCAUCUGACCCUUCUCCAGAGCUGUGGCAGUAGGGGGCUGUAGGCCGUGUUCCAGCGGUGACCAUGGCUUGUUUCUUCCUCUGUGUGUGUAUGCCAAAGGCCACCUGUGUGAGGAGAGAGGUACAAACUCAAGACCAGGCCUAGCUAAGUUCUGACCUUCCAGGCCUCUCACCUCCUGCAGGGCCAGUCAGAGAGGGGAGUGUGUGUGUGCGUGUGUGUGUGUGUGUGUGUGUGUGUGUGUGUGCGCGCGCGCACGUGCACAAGCCUGGGACACUGACGUUCACUGGAGUCUAAACUCUCAGAUUCCUGGAGUGAGGCUGCUGGACCAGUCAAGCAGGCCUUGGGUGUGGCUUAUAGGAAGUUCUCAGGUGACUGGUCAGUGUGUCACUGCCUAUGUGGUUCUGUGACAGCUUGGUUCUGUACGUCACAGCAGAAAGCCCUGAGCUGGGUGGCUUGCUCACCCAGUUGUAGUCCACCUUGUUGGACUGAGGUCACUUUGUGGGGACGGAGGGAGAUAUGAUGUCAGUGUGGAGCACUCUAUGCUGAUGAAGAGACCAGUGAGGUCUAAGGCCGGUGCUGCUGAUUCUCAGAGUCUUCUGUGACAGCUUGAGUUCUGGAAAGGAGAGGAGGGGGUCACACACCUUCCUUCAGACACCCUGUUGGUUCGGCCUGUGUGAGGCGAUUCCGAGUCCUGCAGGCUCCUCUGAAGUCUGCAGCAGUGAAAGAGAAAGAGGCUAUCGCUGAAGGCAGUCUGCCGGUGCCACUUCCUUGGAAGACGUACCCUCUCCUUUUAGUGCUCCAUCGACAAACCAAAGUACAUUCUAUCGAAGUCCAACCUGGGAAACCUGUGAGUUUAUUGGACUUAUUUGCAGAGCACUAGUGAGAUAUACACAGUGACAGGGCCAGCCAUAGUUAGUUGCACAGUGAGACCCUAUCUUAAACAAAUAAACAAAUGAAGAGAAAUAACUAAUAAUUUUUUUUUUACUAAAAUAAAUCAGAGAUAGGUGGCACUUGAGGUAUGACACCCAAGAUUGACCUGUGCGUGUGGUCUCACACACACACACACACACACACACACACACACACACACACACACACAUGCACAGUCCAAAGUACCAAUUCUAGAGGAAAUGGUUUAGACAUUUGUUGACAGACCACUGGUCACCACCAAACCAGCCACAAUGAGGCAGGCUCCCCCCUCCUCCACACCGCUUCAGGGUCUUUGAAUUCUUCCCCAUUGUACAUUGGGCCUCACAACUGACUGCUAGAGACCUUGAGCUCUGAGGUCAUACCAUAACUCGAGGCUUCUCUACCUUGCCCCAAGUCCCUGGGCAGUCACUGGCUGGCUGUCACAGGCCAAACAAGACAAACAAGAGCCUGUUGCAGAAUGCUGUCCUGGGCCUAACAUACCAUCUUCCUCAGAAGAGCUAACUGCAAGAGACCCUCAAGAUUGGGCUGGUUGGUGGUCUGUGUUCCCUCGUGGAAGGAGGGGGUGGACCACUUCCUCUCGUGCUUCCCAGCCACGUGUGUAGAACUCUGCCCUAACUGCAUGUGGCUGCAUGGUCUCAGGAGGUGUUAGACGCCUAGACUGUGGAAGGGUAACCCAAGGAGAGACUUCAUCUGCUCGACUGCAGACAAGUCGUCAUCCGUGUCGGGAUGAGACUUCCCAGUGGUACAGCUGCUUUGGGGUCACACUUGGGGCCACUCUCGUGCGCUCGUGCGCGUGCAUGCUCCUGGAGGCCGAAGGCAUUGGUUCUCCCUAAAGCUAGAGCCAGCAGUGGCUGGCUGCCUGGUGUGGGUGCCGGAAAUUGAACUCGGGUUCUCUGCAAGAGCAAUGUGUUCCUCAGUUCUCAGUGAGCCGCAGCUCCAGUCUCCUACCUUGGUCUUAGGGGCGAGUGUCUCUCACAGGCCUGGAGCUUGCGAGUAAGUUAGGCUGGCUACCCAGUGUUGGGAUUACAAGUGUGCCACCAGGCUCGCUUUCUCUGUGGGUCCUCAGGAUCGGGCUUAGGUCCUCAGGCCUACAAGGUGAGCACUUUACUGAGUGGGCCAUUUCACCGGCCCCUUGGCAGCUGGCAUACGUUUUUUUAGAGCCUUGAGCUUGGGGGUCUCCAUGUCUCCCUGGGAAGCGUGUUAUGGGAGGGAAUAAGGCUCAUUAGACAGGGUCUAUGUGUCAGUGACACAGGAGCCCUGAAUGUUACACAACAGAGGCCACUGGCCCAUCAGGGAGAGCUUGUGCUAUAGGUUUCUGGUGGCUGAGGGGCCGAGAUCCUUUGCUAGGAGGAGGUCUCCAUGUGCUCCUGUGGCGGUCCCUGCUAACUGAUGACCCCCACUGCCGCUAAGGGUAGCAAGUGGUCCUACCCUGUGGAAAGCUGUGGAACAGGCAGGAUCCUAGAGUGGGACUGGUUAAGUUAGAGAGGACAGCAGUUGUGUCCCCCAAAGAGGCUGGAAAGCCUACCUUCUGCCUGCAGUCCCUGCACUCCCAAGGAAGUGUUUCCUUUCCGUGACAUCAUCUGCUUAGAGUCCCUGUUUGUAAAAAUGGUGAUGGUGUGAGAUGGCCUUGCAUCCUUCUGAACGCCUUUCCAGGCCGGUCCCUCAAAUAAGAACCUCGUCUCGUCUCGUGGAAAUGGGUUCAGAAAUAAACUCUAACCACAGGGUAGGCUGCAGUGGGGUUUGGAGGUAGACUCCAGUCUGGCUAAGGGGAUUGGCUUCUCUGGGUUGUGUUCAUGUGCCUGCCCUCCCUGCAAAUCUCAUACCGUCUUCCCCACCCCUACCCCCACCCCGCCUCCUCUUUCCCCUCAUUUCCUGCAACCUUUAGGUCCUGUACUCUUCAGUCUCGGACUUCUCUUGGCUCUGGGCUCUCCUGACUCAUCCAUGCAUGGGAGGUUCUCUGUGCUUCAGCCUGCUGUGGGGUAGCAUCGGGCUCGAGGGUGCAUACAGUGUGGGUGUCAGGGUCCUGGUACAGGAAGGGAAGAUUUGCCUGAGAUCAAAGCGCAUGGUGUUGGCACAGAGCCCAGGAAGAAUUCCCCAGGACAACUUUUGCUUCUCCUUUCAGUUUGCCCCGGGCUGGGGCCCCUGCUAGCCCUUGGCAUGCUGGUGUCAGCUCAGUUUCACGACCCACAGAGGCACAGAGGCGAGGUGGCUGCAGCCGACGCAGGACAAGACACAGGCACCCUGGUCUUAGCCUCGUCCAUCCUCCUGCAUGUGCCUGCCAGCCCCGUCUCUAAGGAUGUUUGGUUGGGGCGUUCCACACCGGUCCCUAGCCGUCCUACGGCAAGAUGGCACGGUGGAGAAUUCUAUGAAGGGAGCCGGACACGGCUCCCCAGUACUGCCCCUUGUCAGAAGCUGGGCUGCUGUGCUUGGAGAGACCAAGGUCGCGGCGGGCACUCACAUUUCCAGAAAUCUAAGAGCUUGGCAGGGCCACGCGGUGGUGCAGAGGUCCUCACUUUCCAAAGGCUCCCUGCAGAUGAAGACUGUGCUUGGGGUUAGCUGCUCUGCAGGAGGGCUGGCUGGAGACUCCUUGGCUGCUGGACACAUCAGCAGUGUGAGUGACAAUGUCUUUCUGGGUCCUCCAUGCCUCCUGAUAUGCUGGCUGCUUACCUGUCACUUCUGGUACAGGCACCAAACUCUGUCCCAGGCCUUGACUUGGGACAUCCCCCAGGGUCAUCAGGAUACCCCUGCUCCGCCAUCACUGUCAUCCCCUUCUCACGUGCUGCAGAGGUGAGGCCAUAGGGUCAGGUGGCCCGGACAUGGUCACCUCCAAAUCAAAGAGAAUGAAUUAGAACCUCACGCCCAGGCCCUCCUUUGGGUGUAGUGCUAAGUACAUUGGUGCCUACUGCAUACCGAGCUAUGCUUCUACGCACUCGGGAUGCUGUGAGCAGGACAGAGAGAGAGAGAGAGAGAGAGAGAGAGAGAGAGAGAGAGAGAGAGAGAGAGAGAGAGAGAGGUCCUUGGGAAGAUUAGAGAGAAAAGCAACCAGCCAAACAACCAAAUAAGAACUCUUUAUCCAGAACCAAAUCGGAUGGCAGCAGGCGUGGUCUUGGAAAAGGAGGCGGGCGAGCUGGGCUGAGAAGAAGCAGCGAAGCCAUCCUUGGAGCAUUUCCAGUGGGGUGUGGGAGGGUGAGGCCUUGCAGGAAUGGGGCGCAGGCCCUCCUAGCCCGCGGGGAAGAGCAAGUAACUUUUCCAAAGCUGGCAGGAGGCAGAACUUACCCACCGUGUGUCCUGUGUUAGGCCCUCCGGUUGUCACCUCCUGGAGGAUGGGACUUGGCUGCUGGCCUGCAGGCUGAGGCAGGAGCCUUGUCGUGUGCUGGUGACUGGGAUUCUGUGAACAGGACUGAGAGAGAGGAGUCGUUGGAAGCUAGGGGUAGUCUGAGAGUAGUAAUGGUGGUGACUGGGAUAGGCAAGCAUCACUUCCUGGCCCUAGGAUGCACGUGCUGCUGGAGGGGACAGUCCACUGAAUCUUAUUUUCCACUUAUCUGUCAUUUGCACGCGUGUGCGUGCAUGCUGGCCGACCUGCAGGAGUUGGUUCUCUCCUCCCAUCCGGUGACCCAGGAACUGAGCCCAGGGGGUCAUCAGGCUUGGCAGCAAGGGCCUUUACCCACUGAGCCAACCUACCAACCCCCAACAGGUCAUUUCUGAAGGAGCCUUGGCUGUUUGCUCUGUAUAGAGGAGUUCCUGAGAGGACCAAACUUUGGGGGUGCCUCUAUUCCCCCAAAGCCCUUGUGGUUUGAGAGCACGGGGCGGGGGGGCUGGAAUUAGGGUUGCAGGACCAGGCGGAGCACUGCUGCCUUGCAUGCUCUGGAGAUAGAUGGUUGUAGGACUUUAAACUACAUUUUUUUUCUUUUCUUUUUUUGCUUGAGAUAUUCCUGUCAUCAGUCAUCAGCCCUAGUUAGCUAAUGUGUAAUUCAGUUUCCCAUCCCUCUUCCUCCAAGGGCUUCCUGGUGUCGUAAAUCUUCUUACAAGGAGUAGAAAGACCAGACCCGGAGGUGCCUCGAAGCUCACUUAACCCCCGUGGGCACAGGUGGUUUUCCUGCCAGUGGAGGCCCGGCAUGCGCCCCGGCAUGCUGGUGGCAGGCGGCUCAGUUUCCUGCUCCCAGCACCCGGCCAGUGCUCUCUCUGACCACUCCCCAGAGUCUUUCCAGUGGAGCCCCGUGGGACAGCCCUGCGGCGUUGGCACUUGGCCAUCACAGCAGCCGGAGUUAGGCGCUCACUGCCAUUGUUGCUGCUGUCACGUGACUGUCCUUCUGGUGGACCUGGGUGAGGUAGACCAGGAAGAGAUCUGCCAGGGUCAGGGCUUUCGUGGCUGCCAGCCCGUGGACUGUGAUGCUGACCCUUGGGUGGUGAGCAGAAGUUUUCUAAAGGUCACCGAUGGGCUCCUUUUGUCUCUGCUUUUCCUUUCAGUUGUUCCUGCUUCCUGCUUGGGUGGCUGGGUUGUCCAGAGGGAGAGGCCCAGGCAGGUGGGCCCUGUGGGCACAGGCAGGGGAGAGGCAGGUCCCUGUACACGGUGUGUGGGGCCUGGCUUCGUGUUAGCCCCAGCUGGAGAAACCUCUAGCGCUGGGCACUGUGAGAGGAAGGGUAGGUGACUUGCCCCCAGGAAGGUGAGGAAGCUUUAGUGUCCUGGGGUCUGCCCAUCUGAGGCUUAGCUGCCCCCCGUGUUUGCAGCAGGCUCUGAAGCUUUCUGCCCCUUGCCCCAAAUUCCAGGACCAAGUGUUCUGUUCUCACUAGUGAUUGGAAAGUUUAGCAUCUAGAUAGUGGGUGACCUUGGCAACUGGAGGACCCCUGUACCCAAAGUCAACUGGCUCUCUGAGUCCUGGGAUGUCUUCAUUUCCUCACUCUUGGCUUGGUCGAGUGCAGCCCCGGUCCCAUGACUCUGACUCUGUCCGAUUGACUGUUACCUGCAGUGGGGAGCCUUGGGCCUGUUACGUGUGUUCUUAGCAGCACAGUGCAGAAAUGCCAGCACUGUCCUUAUUGCAGGAGGUUCUGGGCUGAGUGGACAGCUGCUUAGAGCUGACCUGAGACGGCAUGUCAACGUGGACAAGGGAGUGCUUUGGUCUCAGGAAGGUCCUGUCACAAGUCCCAAAUCAAAAACGCCCACUCUGGGGCUGUUGAGAUGGCCCAGCAGGUAAAGACAUUUAUUGCCCAGCUAGGUGACCCAGGUUUGAUCCCGGGACCUGCACGGUGGGAGGAGAGAACUGGUGAGUACAGGUUGUCCCCCUGCCCACUACAUGUGCACUGAGACACAUGUAUGUACACACAUGCACGCAUGCAUGCACGCGGCUCCCCCACCUGGGUUGUAGUUGGCCUGAGUGCAGAUGUGCUCUGUGGGGACUUCUGGAGGCAGCCAUAUUCAGGGAGGUCACCUGCAUCGCCUGGGAGGACACUGUCCAUCCCACAGCCCGUGUCUGAAAUGGAAGCGAGGCAGAGGGCUAGCAUAUACCCCAACAGGCUCACAGGGCUUCCCUCUUGGCUCUGGGCUCUGGGCGGCUGAAUCACCACCUCGUGUCUUUCUCGGAGCCGUCCUGGGUGUGCAGGGGUCUGAUUUUCACAGCUGUGGCUUUUGUCCCAAUGCCAGGGUCAGACCCUCAGGUAGUGAGGCAGGGCUGUCCUCAUGGUGCUUGGGGACACAGGCCCACGUGUCCCGGGAACCACGUUCAGAUUUUCCAGUGCAGCUGAGCAAACACCUUCUGGCACUACAGAUGGAUGUCAGGGUCGGCUUACGGACUUACGGACUAAAACCCCAGGGUGUGGCUCCGAGUUCCCGAUCCUGAUUUUCACCUUCUUGUGGGUAGUGCCAUCCCCAGAAUGACUUCAAGUUGGUGCCGCCCUAGGAGUGACAGCUUGGAUCUUUAGGGAUAAGGAAGAUGGACUGACAUGAACUUCAUUCCCUGAUUGUUUCAUGGAGGGUGUUUCGGGGCAUUGGGGUACACAUCUGGAGCUCCGGCAAGGCCGGGAAGGUCCCAGGAAUGGAAGCUGGACAGAUAUCCCCAACCCUGCCCAGCCCUAUGGACCCUCUGUUAGCCCUGUUGUAGUUCUGAGGCAUGGCAGAUUCUCUGGGAAAGAGACGCCUUUCCGACCUGCAGGACCCAAGUUUCAGGUGAGGUGACCAUGUAGAUCCUGUUGAGAGGACUGUUAGGGUCCCUGCCCCCCGUGGCGUGAGCUCUGCUGAGAUCAGAGGACUGGCUGGCAGCCUGACGGGAGUCACAUUUUAUCUGCCCUUUUCUCCCAGUCUGGGUCUGGCUUCCGGCCAAACCACUAAUAAUAACGCACUCGGAGUAAUCCUUACAUUGUGGGAUAUGUGGCCUGGUCUGCCCUAUCCUCUGCCCUGAGGAAGGCCCAGCUUCAACAUUCCCACUCCCUGUCCCCGCCCUCCCAUGUCCUUUGCGGGCUCCUCUGUCGACGUCUGUAGACAAGGUACAGCGGACAUUUAUUUCCCGUCAUGCUUCUCAGGUCUUACCCGGGCUCCUCUGUCAUCCAGUCGAGAGGAGAGGUGACUUCUGAGAACUGGAGGGGUUCACCAAGCGGGACCCAGGGCUCGCCCUGAGUCCUCGAAGCAGUCAGGUAUCCUGAGAUUCCAGUAGAGGAGGUGGAAGGGACUGGAAGGGACUCGGGCUCAGCCCAGAUGAGGUGGCCUUUCAGAAGCAUUUGCUGCACUUAGGGCCUGGGACCCUGACUGAAGGCUGCUUCAGUCCAGCAAAGAAGCUCGGGACCCUUUUCUGCGGUUUGUUGAGCACACAGUUUUCCCUCCAAGAAUAUAAACCCCGCCUCCAGCGGAAGAAGUGAAUUGCAAUUUCAGGCAGAGUCCCAGUCUCAGGCUGUGACAGGAGGGGCUGAAGUUGGCUCAGCGAUUCACCCUUGGCUGGCAUGGUCCAGUGGUUCCUGUUCAGCUAAGGCCCAGGUGUUGGGGGGCACUGGUGCCCCCUUUACCCUGUUAUCCACCUGAAACACUGUCUGUCCUUCUGUUCUCCAGAACAGAGGGUUCUCCUCUCUGCUCCUGUAGGUCUACCUGUGUGUGACCAUCUCAGAAUUUACCUCAUGGGCCUGUCACCAUGGACAGGCUGCGUCCCAGUGCUGGGCCAGGGCAGACUGCGAGGUACCCUGAGGGGUACAUCCAGCCCCCUCUCCACCUCACCUGUCGAUGGGGUCGCCUUCUUUGUUUCAUAGAUGGGGAUGCAGGGUGGGUUGAACUGGGGAGUAACCAGCUUGGGGCACAAGGCAGCUCUCAGGCUGGCCCCCGAAGGACUGAAGGGCUCAAAGUCUGUGGGUGCCCUUUGUAUCCUGGGCGUGUUGGUGUUAGGACAACUGACAUUUGAGGCUGCAGAUCUUGAAAGCCCUUAGUGUUGCAGAUCAUCCUGGAAUGCUCUCCAUCCACCUGCUCCUGUUACCUCAAGCCUUGGAGUUAUUCGGGCCCCUUUCUUUUUUGGUGGAGCCUGAGUUAAGGGACCAGAGUCUUCAUAUCACUGAGAAAGGAUACAGCGCCCUUCCCCCCAACUGAAUUAAGGGACUGGGGUCUUGAUAUCCCUGAGAUACAUCCCCUCUCCCCCAGAGGGGAGGAGCAAGGCAGUGCCAGGCUAGGCGCCUGUCCAGAUGCCCAAGUUUGCACAGAUGCCUUAGGAAUAGGUGGCUGACAAGAGGCAAGCGUCAGGCCAGACCCUGCGUCCGUGUGGCUCCUCAGCCUGUCUCCAGUAGCGUUUCCAGAACCAGGUGGGCAGAAGGGACAUGUGAAAUGCAAAGACCUGGGCACUCAUCCCCUCUCCACACCAAGGAGAACAAGAAGGGCUGUCUCCCAGCAGUGGGGGUAGGGAGAGGAGGCUGGAGACUGGUGAGCCUCGAAGGAGCCUUGGAUUAAAAAAAAAAAAAAUCUUAUGCUCCCGGAGACCAUUCUAUCCAGAGCCUUGGCUUCUCCAUCUGUAAAAUGGGACCAUGCUUGCCCUCAGCACUUGGGCCCGAGAUAGUCUAGGUGGCAUGCUGUGAACACCUCCUGGCACGAGGUAAGCUAGGUAGGUACUGGCAAGGGACAUUUUUGCAGCCAGCAUUAAGAGACCCGCUUCCCUUUAAAGUGGCUUUCGGGGUGAGAGCUGGGCGAGCGUGGGACCCCUUUCCUUUGCGAGACCACCGUAUUUGGCACACAGGAUAUUUGGGGCUGCGUUUCAACAGAGCGUUGUAUCUCUGAGUAGAGGCUCAAGCACCUGCGCCCCCUGGUGCCCUGAGUGUGUGCGUGGGGGCCUUUCUGCCUGUUUGGGGGUUCCCCCACCUUGUUGGUGCUUGCUUUUCUGUUUCGUUUCUUUCUGUGGGGGGUUGGCAGCCCAGGAUAGACCCCUCAGGUGACAGAACUGCCAGGUGGUGGGUUGUUUUGUGGGCACGUCCCAGGGAGCAGUGUGCUGGUCCGGGACUCGAUACGCUUGGCUUGUGUCACCAGUCCCAUCUGCAGUCCUUCAUUUACUCCAGAACUCACAUGCGCCCCAGGCCGAGCUCUCAGGUAUAUAAGGGUCUUCAGGCUCCUCUUUCUGGGAACAGUACCGCCACCAAGCCAGUUGUCCCCCACCCCCAGGCCCCCACUUAACCACACUCAGUGCCACAUCUCUGUGCCCUGGUGGCCUUGUUCAGAGACGGACCGCUCUGAAGGAAAAGGUCCGCUGGGGGCCAUGGGAAAAUAGUGUGCCCGGUCGGCUGAGUGGGGGGGGCGGAACCCACAGGGAUAUGAGGCUCUAGGGACCCCCAAGGACGGGACGGGGUCAGACCCCAUUGUCACAGAUGCCAGAGCUUUACUCCCAACUGGCAAAAUCAGCUGUGAACAGUGUGCUCGGUGGCCUGUGACUAACCCUGUGUGUGCAGCCGGUUGACUGCGUGAUCUGAGGCCAGAGGCCACCCAGAGAGGGCUGGUCUCCCCAGCUCCCUUCAAGGUGGCUGGCCGCUCCCCGCGGCAGCUGCCAUGGCACUGAUUGUUCAGUGGUCUAGAAAAUUGUGCAGGCGGGUGCCUCCUCCUCACUCUAUGGUCCUUCCUUUUCCUCCCCAAGUGUCUCCCCCGUCCUGUCCCGGGGUGUCCCUCUUGAGUUGAAACCAGUCUGUAUUCUGUAAGGAAAAAUCUAAUUUGGACGGGCAUCAAGGGGGCUUACUAUAUGGAACUUUGUUCCUAGGGCUCAAAGAUGGACCCUAGAAUAUUUGCUGUACUCCACUUGCCUCUCCCACCUAACUAGACCCUUUCUGCAGUCAGGACCCUUGAAGAUAGUCCCUGGGCACACACAGAUUUCGAGGGAAUGGCUUUAGAGUGCUGGGGUAGAGGGAAGUCUUGCUGUGUUCUGCAGCCCACAGGGCAACACUCAGGGCUGAGCAGAGGAGAGGCCUGCAGGAAAGUGCAAGGGUGUGACCCAGUGCAGUGUCAAGACCCUGGAGAGGCAGCUCUAGGGAGUGCCCCGGGGAUCGCCAGGGCACUGGGUCUUCUGUGACCUACCGGCCUUUUUUUACCCUGUGGAAGGAGGAGAGGACGCAGGCCUAGGUGUUUCUCCAGAAAGAGAGGGAGCAGCACGGGGGUCCCGGAGGUCUCACCUAUCUAACUCGUUUGUGUAACUUGCUCAUAUAAAUCACAAGUUCUCAGGUGGGAAGACAGAUGCUGCCUUCCAUGGCUGAUGGGAACAGUGCCCACCAAGGGCAUCUUGGUAAUUUCUAGAACAACCGCACAGGUACGGGCCCUUCGGUCUAGCAAGAUCACUGCCUGGGACUUUAUCUUACAAGCAGACUGGUAACCUUGCAGGAUGGCUGUCCAUAGGCUGCACCCAGGAAGCAGGGCAAUGGAGAGGCCACCACCAGAUGCCCGGUGUCCCCUCAGGGGCCUUGGCAGGAUCAGCUCGGCCCACCUGCUUGGGGUGUGUGAUUCUGCAGGCCUCCCCACCCCCUUGUCCACAGAGAAGCCUACCAGGGUUGCUGGCAUGCUGGAGAUAAGCGCGGCCCACGGGUGGGGGGGUGAUUUAUGUCUGCCGGCUGGUGAGUUCAGUACGGUACAGUUGCCUUCUGCCAGCAUUGUGGGAAGUGCGGUGCCUGGCGUCCUCCUACCCACUCUCUCACCCUCCCUCUCCCCUCCUGGAGUCUCACAGAGACACUGAUGAUGUAGCCACCCUGCUUCCCUUGGGAGCUGUACCUGCCCUCAGCCUCCCAGCUCGAUCCCGUUCUUCCUCAGUGUCAAGACCCCGGCGAAGCAGUGUGUACAUACCUGUGUGUGCACAUGUGUGCAUGUGCGUGAGUAUGCAUAUGGGCGUUUGUGGGAGCACGUCCUUGUGCACUUGUGGGUAUGUGUGCAUAUGUACUAGUUUGUACACUUCUGUGCACGUGUGUAAGGGGGGAUUUCUUGCCCACAGUAGAACUCCGGGGCACAUGUCUCUCAGGCAAGAGGGGCUUGCUUUGCAUAAACCAACCUUCCUUCCAUUGAGACCCAGCCUGAUUUCCAGGACAUUUUAGGAUAUUGUUCCUCCCUGGGGCAGUCCUGAUGCACACCCUUACUCUGGUCCUGUGUGGGCUGUGCACGGUGCCUGGAGCUGGGGGGUGUAUUUCAGUUGGAGGGAACGUUGCAUCACCUCGUGGCUGAUGCCUGGCUUAGCUGAGGGUUACAGUGCUAGCUUUGCAGCCUGGGCACUCCAGCCAGGCCCAUGUGAGCAGCCAAGCACCUCCCCCACUCCGGGCCACGGUGAUUUCUUCUGAAAAUUGGGAAGGCCUGAGGCAUCUCUUAAGCCUUUGCCCAGCCACACUGUUCUCUGACUUGGAGAGGGGUGGCCAAGCAAGUGGCUGGCAGCAGGUCCUCAGAAGGUUUGUCACCUCUUGUAGGGCCUUAGUACUUACCCGCUCCCCUCUCCUGGCUGCUGGAGCACGGGGUGGGGGUGGGGGUGGCGGCUCUUUGUCCUGGUGUCUGUGUCUCUGAGGCCAUAAAGCCCAGCAUGGAGGCUCCUGAGGAGUGUGGGUUCCAGGGCCCACCUGCCACAGGACACGUGCAGGUCUCUGGGCUCUGUGAUUUGAACUCCCUCUUGGCUGUCCCUGCCAGCCCUGCUGCAUAUCUGCAUAUUUUUAAGCUGCCUAAAUGGAGUACUGCCAAAGUUAUCUGGUUGCCAGGGUAACUUGCCCAAGCUUGCACUGUUCUAGCUCUUAGAUCCAGACGUACUUAAUUCUGCCCAUCACAACAGCAAUGGCCGUGGGAAGGUUGCCCUUGGGCAAUCUCAUUUUCUGAAUGACUUCAGAGCUUGGAGUUGGUCACAGGACAGGUCUGGGACACCCCCCACCCCAAUCCAUACACACCCCUCGUCUGCCGAGCACUAGACCUCAAUUCUGCCCCUAUGGGUGAAAGAGAAACACUCAAGGUUCAGGGGAGAGGAGGGCCCAAGGCUGACCCAGCCAGGUGAGCCUCCCUCUGCCCCAUCCUGUGGAAUCCUAUGGGUAGCCUGAGGUGGAUGUGGCACUAUGGCCUUGGCCAUCACAUUCUUGAAGAUACAGGCAGGGACCUAACUCCGGGAGGGAGGCAUGAAAUCUGUCUUCCUCUCAUGCCAGCCUUGGAUCCUGGAGAAGGGGCUGGUUCGCCUGGGCUGCUUUUUUGCACUUUCUGGGGGCUCAGGCUGAUGGGAGAGAAGGACACAGAUUGGGACGGAACUGAGAUCCUCUAGAGCCUCUGGGUGCGUCUGGUGUGAUGAGGUUGGGCUCUCAGGAGCAUGUGGGUUCUAGAGCAGGGGAAACUGGGGUGCCCACGGGGCUGCGGGGUGUGGUUUGGUGCCCUUUCUCCAGUUGCCUCUUCCGUGCCAGCUUCCUUGGCUGCAGAGUUCAGUCGUGUGUGGCUCAGCCUCGGAGAGGAGCCCUAGGAACCAAACCACCAUGCACAGUGCCUGCUGGCCCCUGCGCAGUGUGGGAUAGUCCGAGCCUUACAGUGACCGAUUGAGAAAGACAUAAUGGGGUCAGCCUUCCUAGUCUUGGGGGGGCGGGGUGGCGCGAGUGAACCCCAGAGCCCUACCCCCAACUCCCGAGGCUGAGAAGGCAGGACCUGAGUUGGGCUUCCCUUGUGUGCUGUCGAUUAGGGUGGCCAGCUGAGCCCAGGAGCUUCUGGGGGGCCUGUGUCCCUGGCUAUAAACUGGGAAGCUGAGAGCAUCUAUGAGGACGUUGUCAUGUGAGGAGCUGCUAGUGUCCUGUGUCACUGUCCGACACCUUGAUUUCCAAAGGAGAGCAAAGGGAUGCCCAGCCGAUGCAGAUGGGCAGAUGGAGGUGCAGGCCGAGUGUCAGGCGGUGGCAAAGAGCUCUCUGCCGCCCCAGCACACGGGAAGCACCAAACUGUCAUGGGCCACCUACUCUUAAUGACAUAGGACCAGUUUUGCAGGAAUAAGGGCCUGGGUGUCAGCUGGUCUUCUUAAAGCCUGUGACCUGGAGAUCAGUUCUACCUGUCUAACUUAGGGUCUACACCUGCCCUCCCUGAGGCUCUCUAGCGGCAGGUAUAAGAGGACCAAAGAUGUGGGUCCUACCGGGUGUCACAGAGGAGCUUCCUGGCAGUUGCCUGCCUCUAGCCCCUUGUAUCAGGGGUCUCAAAGGGAGGUAAGCGCUCUUGUUCUCGGAGUAGAGAUCUUGGCCCCCAGUGGCUUUUGGGCCAUUGAAAAGAGCAGUAGACCUACCUCUGUAAAUGCUGCCCUUUCUCCAGGGGCACAGGGGAGGGACAGGAAUGCUGUACCAUAUUCUGGCCUGGGUUUCCUGUUAAGGUUUGCUUCCAGUCUCAGGGUAGGAGGAAGUCCUUGCAAGGAGCAGUGGGCAGAAUGAGAGAUUCCUCAUAUUUCUGCUAUAGGUUGGAGCAUCACAGCCAGGGCCGGUACGCCAGGAUUAACGUAGUCUAGCAGGGAGUGUCUGCCCCCAGCCUGAUGUGUGCCAGCCGAUGGGAUGGGCUGUUUUUGGAAGGUUCUGGGCUGUGUUAUCUUGGCGGGACAGGCUCUGGCCAAGUGUUGUGGGGUAGGGGAGUAGUGCUGGGCAUGUCCCCUCUCUCUGUAAGUGCUUUGGACCCAGGCCCAGGGAGCUGUCGCCUGUUGGGUCCGGCUGACUUCCCAGUGCAUUGUGAUAGGCAGUAGGUAUUCCUGGACGGAGACUGGCUUCUCCCCUUGGUCUGGGGUUUCCUGUGUCUGUCAGGGACGCCUGUCCCUUCUCUAGACUUAGGUUUCCACCCCAGGAUCCCGUGGCCUUGGUGUCCCCUCAGAGCUGCCUGAGGUUGUUGAUUCACCAGAUUGCAUGCCUGGUGGGGUUCUGUGGUCAGCGGCUGUCGGCCUUCUCAGCUCAGUUCCUUGUCCUGAAGACCUUUCUUCAGGGCACAGCCAGGGCGAGAGCGAGAGCUCCCACACGUGGUGUGCAGAACCUUGUCUGUCUCCUGGCACCGAGGAGUCAUCUGAGGUAGUGUGUUUGAUCAUCCUUGGUGCCCUGUGAUUCUAGGUGAUCUUGUCCAUCUGUCCUGUUUUGUUUUGUUUGACCAAGCUAGCAUGGAGCUUGAGGCAAUCCUCCGGCCUCAGCCUCCCUACACCGGACAUCCUCAUUCAUUGGUGUCUGCCACCAGACUAGUCGUGACUCUUCCAGAGAUAAGGGAACUGAAACCAGAAACUUCCCAGGCUUUGCGGACUAGGGAGAUGGCUCAGUGGCUAAAGCACUCACUGCGUAAGCCUGAGGACCAGAGUUCAAAUCCCCAGGAUCCGUGUGGCCUUGUUGACAGAGCUUCAGAGGAAGAGACCAGAUCCCCUGGAGCAAGCCAGCUGGCUGACUAAACCAGCUAGAUCUGCAAACCCUGGGCUCAAAUGAGAGGCUCUACUUCAGUUCCUAAGGUGGAGAGUGACCAGGGAAGGAAUCUAACACACGCCUGCGGCUGCCACGCACCUGCACGCAUGUCACACCUGCCAACACCUAUGUGACCGCACACGCCUGGAAAAACAAGUUACGGGACUGAACUCGCCUUCCCCACGUGUGGCUCUUCAGAUGCGUCUCUUGGCCACAAGGCAGGCAGGCUGAACUCAGUGUCCCCUUUGGUACCUGCUCUGGACAGAGAAACCAUAGGCGCUUAUGCCUAAGGACUGGGACUCCGGAGCCCAGGCAGCAGCUGGCAGGGUGCGUGAAGCACUCAGUGAAGUGUUCGGUGGUGGAGGGGUGCCAAGCAAGGAGGUGUUUUCUUUCUUUCUUUUUUUUUUUUUAAGAGUUUCAAAGUGGGUGGUUGUUCACGAGAGAAACUUGGGAAAAGUAAAAAAUAAAGCAAAAUAAAAAGCAGAACUCACGCAGCCCAGGCUGGCUGGAAAACCUCCCUCAGGAUUGUUGUUCUCUUCUAGCAAGAGGGUGUGUCAGCUGCUGCUGGUGGUGACUGGGCGUGUGUGUGUGUGUGUGUGUGUGUGUGUGUGUGUGUGUGUGUGUGUGUGUGUGGUGUCAGUGUGGUCAGCCUCCUAGCUCAGCCCCACCUCUCAGCCGAGUGCCAAAGGGACUUGUUGGAGAGGGGGCGGGGUAGGGGUGGGGGGCGCCGCUGGUUUUAUUUCCUUAAGAGCAGAUAUCAGUAACUACCACACCACAGAGCCCAAGCCCGACCUCUGAACGUUACCUCAGCUUCCAGCAGACAUGCACGCACACUUUGCUGUCCACCGAACGGGUGGUGGCGGUGAUGACUUUCCAGUUGUGCAUUAAACGGCUAGCAUUCCCUUAGGGGAAGGUGUUAGCAAGCCUGCCACGGCUGUGGCAGAGUGCCAGUCCAGAGACCCAAGGGCUUGUUUUGGCCACUUAGGUUCAAAGCAGGAGGACCAUCAUGGUGGUGGGAUUGUGUGAUGGAGGAGACUGCUUACCUCAGGGCACCGGGAAGCAGAAGGGUCACGGGAAGAGAUUCAGGACAGAACACACCUCCCAAGAACCCAUUUCCUUUUUCUCUUUCUUUUCUUUUGAGAUUUAUUUAUUUAUAUGAGUACACCGUCGCUGUCUUCAGACACACCAGAAGAGGGCACCAGAUCUGAUUAUAGAUGGUUGUGAACCACCAUGUGGUUGCUGGGAAUUGAACUCAGGACCCCGGGAAGAGCAGCAGUCCAUACUCUUAACUGCUGAGCUACCUCUCCAGCCCCAUCCAAGAUCAUUUCCAGUGAUCUGCUUUCAAUCAGACUCUCCCCACCCCCAACCCCCCC